UGGGUGAGAGGGGACACCUGGAUGGCAAACUGAUGGAGGCUGGCCUUGCAGCGCCCAGAGGCACCCACCUGUGGGAGUUCAUCCGGGACAUCCUCAUCCACCCGGAGCUCAACGAGGGCCUCAUGAAGUGGGAGAAUCGGCAUGAAGGCGUCUUCAAGUUCCUGCGCUCCGAGGCUGUGGCCCAACUAUGGGGCCAAAAGAAAAAGAACAGCAACAUGACCUACGAGAAGCUGAGCCGGGCCAUGAGGUACUACUACAAACGGGAGAUCCUGGAACGGGUGGAUGGCCGGCGACUCGUCUACAAGUUUGGCAAAAACUCAAGCGGCUGGAAGGAGGAAGAGGUUCUCCAGAGUCGGAACUGAGGGUUGGAACUAUACCCGGGACCAAACUCACGGACCACUCGAGGCCUACAAACCUUCCUGGGAGGACAGGCAGGCCAGAUGGCCCCUCCACUGGGGAAUGCUCCCAGCUGUGCUGUGGAGAGAAGCUGAUGUUUUGGUGUAUUGUCAGCCAUCGUCCUGGGACUCGGAGACUAUGGCCUCGCCUCCCCACCCUCCUCUUGGAAUUACAAGCCCUGGGGUUUGAAGCUGACUUUAUAGCUGCAAGUGUGUCUCCUUUUAUCUGGUGCCUCCUCAAACCCAGUCUCAGACACUAAAUGCAGACAACACCUUCCUCCUGCAGACACCUGGACUGAGCCAAGGAGGCCUGGGGAGGCCCUAGGGGAGCACCGUGAUGGAGAGGACAGCAGGGGCUCCAGCACCUUCUUUCUGGACUGGCAUUCACCUCCCUGCUCAGUGCUUGGGCUCCACGGGCAGGGGUCAGAGCACUCCC
rnacentral:sRNA from 1 species